rnacentral:tRNA from 1 species
GGAGUUGUAGCUCAGUGGUAGAGUGCUUACCUAGCAUGUAUGAGGCACUGGGUUUGAUUCUCAGCACCA